rnacentral:lncRNA from 1 species
AAAAAUAUCCCUUUUAGGCUUUUUGCUAAUAUAUCUGCUCAUUUUCAAAGUUCCAAAUAUUAUAAAAGUAUUUAAAGCAAAAAGAAGAAGCCCUCCAUUUCUGCUGGCCCACUUCCCUGUCUCAACUAGAAAGUAUUUUCCCAGGCAAUGCUAUCCCAGGACUCACACUCCAUCCAUCCAUCACCUACCAUAAGUUCUUUGAAGGGCUCAUUCUGAGCGCUUCCUGAGUGCCUGGGAUCUGUUAUUUCUCUCCAUUUCUGCUGCUGCAUGGUAGUCCAAGUCCUCCUCCCUUUUCCCCUAGGCCAUUUGAAUCAUCUGCUAAUUGGUUUUCCUGAUUGCCACGGAAACUUCCUCCAUCCCUUCCUCACAUAUCAGCCACAGAAGUAUCUCCAAAAAGCAAAUCUGGUGACAUGAAGCCCUUGCACAAAACCCAUUCAUUACUGGUUCCACAUCUCCUUUGUGGAUAAGUUCAAGCUCCUGAGUGUGGCAAGCAGGGCCCACCUGGAAUCCCCUGCCCUCCUCUCCUAUCCCACGCAUCAACCUUUCCUGUCUAUUUGCAGUUCCUUGAAUGUGAUAUUCUUUCUAGUCUCUGUGCUUUUGCAUAACCUGUUCUUCCUGACUGGAAACUCCUUCUCCUCCUUGUAGUUUGGCUAAUUUCUAGUCUUUCAAGACUCAGCUCAUGCUUCACCCCCUCUAUAACAAGUCCUUUCCCAAGCUGGGUGGUGGAUGCUCCUCUGUGCUGUGUGAGUCUUGAACAUCCUCAGCAAACCUCAGCUUUGUUUGCUUGUCUCCCUUGCUGUCAAUGCACCUGAUUCAGGGCUGGCAUAUACUGUUCACCUCCAUGACUGGCUCAUGGUGGUGCUCCGUGAAUAUCAUCCACCCAAACGGAUGAGAGCUACCAUGCCAUCACUUGUGACUUCCAUCUGGAGCUAACCUCCCCCGACAGGAAAGCGUUUCCUUAGGAAAGAAUAUCUUUGGGUUAAAUAGAAGUAGAGACUCACCAGAAGCACUAUGUCCAGCUCAGAAUGAACUGCUCAGUAAGCAGCCUUGUCAAUGAGGAGGCAGCAGGCCAGCCCCAGAGGCCUCAAAGUGGGAGAGUAGAGAAGCGCAGUUCCUGCCACAAAGGCACAGUGGACACCUUGCUCCCCUGGCUGGCUGGAAGCAGAUGGUGUCCACCUGCUUCCAUGGGAAUUCUGCACCUUUAAUAAAGUUUUAUGGGACAGGAAGGUGACUGGCAUUGACAUUGUAACGAGGAAUGGGUGGUGCCACCUUUGCUGUGUCUUACCAGAAAUACCUGUGGCAGGUAAAUUUCUAGAGAGACCCUCCCAUUUCUCCCAUAUAGCAAUUUUGAAAUGUUUCCUGAGGGCUUUCCAAAUUCAUCUGGGAACAUAGGAGUUCCAGAAAGAUGAAAUCAAAGGUGAUGGUAUGCCAAAGAAAGUAGCUUUUAGAAUGACUUACAUUAGCCAUUCAUCCAUUCAGCACACCAGGCAUUCAGUUUGAGGGGUGUGUGUGUGUGUGUGUGUGCGCGCGCGUGCGUGUACAUAGGGGAAGGGAAACAAAAGUACACAAGACAUGAUAGUUGUCCUCAAGGAGGUUUUGCAAAUGUUCACAAUUUAAGAGAAUAUGCUGUGCUGUGGCUGGUGUAUAAACCAACUGCUAGGGAGAGGCCUUCCACACACACUUGGGGCAAAUGCGACCUCUAGGACUGCCAGUGGAAUCUGGGCAUGCUGUUUGUGGUCGAUAAACCCUGGUCCCUUGAUCAGGGACCUAUGUUUACUUUUCCUCUCCCUGGAAGUCUUCAUUAGUGGGCAUCCAGAAGGUCUUGCACAGGGCAGAGGGAGGCACAAAGACAAGAGUUUGAAACCAGCCUGGACAACAAAAUGAGUUUCUAUCUUUACAAAAAAAAUUUUUAAAAAAUUAGCCAGGUAGGAUUGCAUGUGCCUGUAGUCCCAGCUAUUCAGGAAGCUGAGGCAGGAGGAUUCCCUGAGACCAGGAAUUUUGAGGCUGCAGUGAGCUAUUAAGUUGGCGCAAAAGUAAUCGUGGUUUUUAUCAUUAAAAGUAAUGGCAAAACUUUUAAUGACAAAAACCGUGAUUACUUUUGCACCAAUCUAAUAUGAUUGCACGACUGCACUGUGCUCCAGCCUGGGCAACAGAGUGGGACCCUGUCACAAAAUAAUAAAUAAAUAAAAUGUAAACAUGUAAAAAAAACCCCAAAAACAAAAAAAAUGGGUGUUGAGACCCCUGAAUUGAGGAAUAAUAGGAAGGAGUGUGAUUCUGUGUGUGCAUGCAUGGGUGUGCACCCUCAGUGCCUGGGUGGCUUACCCUGGGCUAGUUCAGGUGGCAAAUGGUUUUCCUCCAGCUGGGCUACCACCAUCUUCCCCCAGGGCCUGUCCAUGUAUUUGGUGGCAAGAUACCUAUGGACUAGAGUCCCUCCUCAGAGGAAAGGCUCCUCCCAUUUCUCUGGCUUUCAGGUAGUAGUCCAUGACUUCAACAGGUCCCCACUGCAAUGUUAUGGGUUAGUUUAGGUGGGGUCUCCUCUGAGAGCCUCCCAUAGCCCAAAAGGCCCUGUCCUAGCUGGCACUGCAUCUCCCUCUUCCCAGCUCUCAGCCUUUCUCUUUGCUCAUCCCACUCCGCACAGGCUUUCUGCCUGAUCCUUGGAUGUGUCAAUCCUGCCCCUAAGGGAUACAAGGCAAUUUGUCCUUUUAUUAUUAAGAUCUCUCCUGAGGCCACGUGUGGUGGCUCACACCUGUAGUCCUAGAACUUUGGUAGGCCAAGGUAGGAGAAUUGCUUGAGCUCAGGAGUUCCAGGCUGUAGUGAACCAUGAUUGCACCAUUGCAUUCCAGCCUGUGUGACACAGCGAGACCCUGUCUUUUUUCUUUUUUUUUUUGAGACAGGGUCUCGCUCUGUCAUCCAGGCUAGAGUGCAGCGGUGUUUUUCUGCUCACUGCAGCCUCAACCUGCACAUUUUUUGUAGAGACGGUGUCUUGCUAUGUUGCCCAGAGUGGCCUCAAACUCCUGGGCUCAAGAGAUCUUUCCACCUCAGCCUUCCAAAGUGCUGGGACUACAGGCGUGAGCUACCGCGCCCAACAAAGACCCUGUCUUAAAAAGAAAACAAAAAUAAA